rnacentral:rRNA from 1 species
UACAGAGGGUGCGAGCGUUGUCCGGAAUCACUGGGCGUAAAGGGCGCGUAGGCGGUCUGGUAAGCGUGUGGCGAAAGCCCGGGGCUCAACCCCGGGUCGGCCGUGGCAACUGUCGAGCUGGAGCACUGUAGAGGCAGGUGGAAUUCCGGGUGUAGCGGUGGAAUGCGUAGAGAUCCGGAAGAACACCGGUGGCGAAGGCGGCCUGCUGGGCAGUGGCUGACGCUGAGGCGCGACAGCGUGGGGAGCAAACAGG